AGAGUUUGAUCCUGGCUCAGGACGAACGCUGGCGGCGUGCCUAACACAUGCAAGUCGAGCGGAGAGAUUGUCGUAUUUAUAUGACAUGAUCUUAGCGGCGGACGGGUGAGUAACACGUGGGUAACCUGCCUCAAAGUGGGGGAUAGCCUUUCGAAAGGAAGAUUAAUACCGCAUAAGAUUGUAGCAUCACAUGAUGCAGCAAGAAAAGGAGCAAUCCGCUUUGAGAUGGACCCGCGGCGCAUUAGCUAGUUGGUGAGGUAACGGCUCACCAAGGCCACGAUGCGUAGCCGACCUGAGAGGGUGAUCGGCCACAUUGGAACUGAGAUACGGUCCAGACUCCUACGGGAGGCAGCAGUGGGGAAUAUUGCACAAUGGGCGAAAGCCUGAUGCAGCAACGCCGCGUGAGUGAUGAAGGCUUUCGAGUCGUAAAGCUCUUUGAUCAGGGAUGAUAAUGACAGUACCUGAAAAACAAGCCACGGCUAACUACGUGCCAGCAGCCGCGGUAAU
rnacentral:rRNA from 1 species